UGAUUCUAGAAUGAUCAGCUUUCAACUGCCCCUCACUGCCUUUCAUGAAAAUUGAUUCUCCUCAUUAGUUCUUUUUCUUUUUUCUUUUUUUUUAUUUUUCCUGAUUAUAUUUUUAUACAAUUUUAAUAAUCUUUUUUUUGACAUUUUGUGAUCAAUGUUCAUUCCUCCCUCUAUUCUUUAACAGUCCCCAAAACAGCUGAUAAUAUGAUAUAGGCUAAAUGUGUUACCAUACAAUACCUAUUUCCAUGUUCCUCAUGUUGUGAAAGAAGAUAUAUAUUGUUUUCACUAGAGAAAAAUUUCUGGAGGGAAUAAAGUGAAGAAUGAUAUACUUCAAUCUGCUUUCAGAUUCUAUCAGUUCCUUCUAUGGCAGCAAAUAGCCUUUUUCAUGGGAAGAAAAUUGAAUUCUUGCAAGGAAGCAGUAGACAAUUGCAAUGAGAGGGAAAUGGAAAGGGAGGAAGCAAAAGAAGGAUGCAAAGUAACCAUCAAUUCUGGAAGCAUCCAUUUAUUUAUACUGCAAGUUAUGCUCAGGGAAACAAACAGAAAAGUAGAAGACAGUCAAAGAUAAGAGAUCUUCCACAAUAAUGUCUUUGGGCUGCAAAGUGCCCUUUCUGCUGGGAGGGAAGGAGAAAGAAAUACCAAAUCUCCACUCUUGACACAAGACCAGAAAAGAGGAAGUACUGGAAAUGAUUCCCAACAGAGGGUGGAAUAAUUUUUCUGCCCCCUCCUAGAGCUCAAAAAAGGCA
rnacentral:lncRNA from 1 species